rnacentral:rRNA from 1 species
UACAGAGGUGGCGAGCGUUAUUCGGAAUUAUUGGGCGUAAAGGGCGCGUAGGCGGCUUGACAAGUCCCGGGUGAAAUCCCUCGGCUCAACCGAGGAACUGCCUUGGAAACUGUCUGGCUUGAGGCCGGGAGAGGGUAGUGGAAUUCCCAGUGUAGCGGUGAAAUGCGUAGAUACUGGGAGGAACACCGGUGGCGAAGGCGGCCACCUGGACGGUAACUGACGCUGAGACGCGAAAGCGUGGGGAGCAAACAGG